rnacentral:rRNA from 1 species
GAUGAACGCUAGCGGCAGGCUUAACACAUGCAAGUCGAACGGCAGCACAGGUAGCAAUACUGGGUGGCGAGUGGCGCACGGGUGCGUAACGCGUAUGCAACCUACCUCUAUCUGGGAGAUAGCCCGAAGAAAUUCGGAUUAAUACCCCAUAAUAUAUGCCUUUCGCAUGUUAGACAUAUUAAAGCUUUGGCGGAUAGAGAUGGGCAUGCGUGACAUUAGCUAGUUGGUAAGGUAACGGCUUACCAAGGCUACGAUGUCUAGGGGGUCUGAGAGGAUUAUCCCCCACACUGGUACUGAGACACGGACCAGACUCCUACGGGAGGCAGCAGUGAGGAAUAUUGGACAAUGGGCGAAAGCCUGAUCCAGCCAUGCCGCGUGCAGGAAGACGGCCCUAUGGGUUGUAAACUGCUUUUGUUAGGGAAGAAACCCCUCGAUUUAUCGGGGGCUGACGGUACCUUUCGAAUAAGCACCGGCUAACUCCGUGCCAGCAG